rnacentral:rRNA from 1 species
AAUAAACGCUGGCGGCGUGCCUAACACAUGCAAGUCGGGCGAGAAAGCUCCUUCGGGAGUGAGUACAGCGGCGAACGGGUGAGCAACGCGUGGGUGAUCUGCCCUUGGGUUGGGGAUAGCCAUUAGAAAUAGUGGGUAAUACCGAAUACGAUGGCGAGACUGUGGUCUUGUCAUGAAAGGCGCUUCGGCGCCACCCGAGGAUGAGCCCGCGUCCCAUUAGCUAGUUGGUGAGGUAACGGCCCACCAAGGCGAUGAUGGGUAGGCGGCCUGAGAGGGUGUACGCCCACACUGGGACUGAGAUACGGCCCAGACUCCUACGGGAGGCAGCAGCUAAGAAUAUUCCGCAAUGGACGAAAGUCUGACGGAGCGACGCCGCGUGGAUGACGAAGGCCGAAAGGUUGUAAAAUCCUUUUGUUGGGGAAGAAUAAGGCUGGGAGGGAAUGCCCGGCUGAUGACAUGAACCGACGAAUAAGUCCCGGCUAACUACGUGCCAGCCGCCGCAGUAA